rnacentral:rRNA from 1 species
GGAGAUAAGGGUAGAAAACAUGUUGUGUUUGCACCUGGAGAUCUUGUUUGGUUACAUUUGCGUAAGGAUAGAUUUCCUGAUUUGCGCAAAUCAAAGCUAAUGCCACGUGCUGAUGGUCCCUUUAAGGUGUUAGAGAAAAUAAAUGAUAAUGCAUAUAAACUUGAGCUGCCUGCAGAUUUUGGGGUUAGUCCCACUUUUAACAUUGCAGAUUUGAAGCCUUAUUUGGGUGAGGAAGAUGAGUUUCCGUCGAGGACGACUUCAUUUCAAGAAGGGGAGGAUGAUGAGGACAUCAAUACCAUUGUUACACCCACA